AGCCUUCCGCCCUUUGUUACACUGGGCUGACAUAAGCAACAUGGGCUUUUGGGCGAUUAUUUCAAGCAUUCAGAUUUUGUUUCCCCAUGCAACACCGUAAGCUCCCUACAGGGAGAACAUAUGUCUCAGGUCAGGGAAUAGAUGGGAAGACAGUUUUUGAGAGCAUGAUAAUGAAGGGAGUUUUCAAUACACUGAGUUUUGUACACCUGUAGUAUAUGCAGGUAGAAACAUCCAAUAAGCAGUUAUUACAUACACAUCUGGAUAUCAGAGGGAGGUCUAAGCUGAACUCAUUCAUUGGAACUCAUCAGCCUAUGUUUGGUUCACUGCCAGGUGGAGUGCAUGAACUGCAUCACACAGGGAGAGUGGAGAGGGGCAGUGGGUGAGCAAGAUGAGCGGGUGCGGGAAACCGGAAGCUCUGCCAGGUGAGGUGCUGGCGGGGGAGGAACCCCAGCCAUGGUAAGAGGGGCCUGGAAGACUGUGUUACUGUGGAUGCUGAGAAAUUGUAAAUUUCCGUGAGAACAGAGAGUGACCAAUGGUGGCAAAUGCCACAACAAAGACAAGUAAGAGAAGACUAGGAAAAGUGCCCAGUGGGUUUGACUGCAAUUGACCCUCAAAGAGCAAUUUCCCGUGAGUAAUGAGAACAGAACCCGGACAGAGAGCGAAUGAGGAUGGGCUGCACUGCAAGGAGAGUAAUUAGAGAACGCGAACUCAGACCAUGCCCUGCACACCAGAGAAAGGAAGGCUGACACCAAACAGGAGCUUCCAGGAUGAAAUGGCUAUGACACAAAUAGAUGAGGUAAUUUAUGCAGUGGCACACAGCUGGCGAGUGGAAGAGCAGAAUUCAAGCUCACACAGUCUGGAAUCAAAGGCUUUAUUCUCAACCACUGGGCUACGCUGCCUCCAUUUUUAUGUUAGCAAUCCAGGCAGCAACUUCCUUCUCAUCCAACCUUGACCUUUUGUUUUGUUGGACUCAGUCCCAGAUCUCUGGGACCUGAUGCUGGGACCUGAUGCUGGACUUUGCAGAAUCAUGGAUCAAAUCCAAAUGCUGCAGUACAUAAAGGUUCUGUCUUCUUAAAAAAAAUCCAAAUUCUUGUAGCUCUUUUACAGAAUGCAAUAUAUGUCCAAAAGUUUAUAAUAAGAUUAUCAAAUGUGAUGUUCUAAAAAUCAAAACUCAUGUGCUUAUAAAAAUGAUUUGCUACAUUAUUACACGCUGCUCUUAAGUCUAACAUUCUCUCCAGAAGUUCCCACAGUUAUAAUUUCAAGCCAGUGAAAGUAAUUAAGACAGGAAAAGGGAGAAUCCUUAACUUACUUUCAGCAGAUUUAGAUUUUCUUCCUGUAAUACUCUUUAUGCAGCCCUCCCUGCUGUUGCAAACUCUUAGAUCUACCCCCAAACAUGUUAUUUACAAAGUCUUAAAGUCUCACAGAUAUUUGCAUUUGUUUUGUAAUGUACUAAACAAGUCAUCAUAAUGCUUUAAAAAGAAUUGAAGAAGACACAGCUGGAUCCUUUCUGUACUGUGAGACUGACUCUUCUCAAGAUUUAAGACUGUCUUCCCACAAACCUUCGAAGUAGAUCUAUUGGACUGCUACCUGAAGGAUCUCCUGGAAAUAGGCAUAUCUUUAAAGCUGAUGCCCAUUGCAUCCUCUUCAUUCUGCAUUACAAAUUUUAUAAUGCCCAGUUUGAUUAAAGGAGUGUCUUUAGGCUAUUUGUUAGGGUCCAACUACAACCUUUGAAUAGAGAUUAGGCUGGGCAGCUUGCAAAUCUUGCACAAAAAGUAAAUCUACUCUUUGCUUUGAGACUUGGGGAGUGUCAAGAGUAAUUGGAAUGUUUUCUUCAUGUGCCCCUGCCCUAAAGAUUACAUCUUUUCCUUCAAGAUUUAGCAAGAGGCACUGAGUGAGAAUUGUAAUCAAUAUCAUUAGCUAAACAUACUACACCCAAAAGACAAACAGCUGCUGGAUUACUGCGCUACUACUCACCAUCUUAGAGUCCUCAUUCAUAUAGUGCUCUAAACCUGGAGAAAUUCACAUACCGACUCAUACAUCACCCAAAAGAAUUCUGAAAAUAUAGCUGUGAAUUGUGGAAAUUCACAGCCAUAUGGCCAGAAUAGGCCUGGAAACAACUAGGUGUUCUUGAUUUUUUAUUUCAAGAUUCUUUUUUGGUCUAAAUAUGUAAGCUCCAGCCAAGAGAUACACCUGAACUAUCCAUACCUUGCUGUGAGUUUUUGGUGUGUUCAGAAACCAGCAUGCAAAUGUCAUUGGAGAUACUGUAAGAGAAAAGGAUGUGAGGUGUCCCCUUGAGAGAUUUUUAAUGGAACUAGUCUGAGGCUAGUUUCACACAAAUAUCUCCUGGGGACUGGAGGCAGGGAAAUGACUAGCUCAGCAUCAAGCCUGUAGACCGAGGAUAUGCAGGGAGAAUGGAUGGGGAGACCCAUCCAAGAGGGUUGUUUCAGGAGCUAGGUCAUUCCACGGUUCCAAUCUUCCUUCACGUGUCAUACUCCUUCCUUCCAAGGUUUGGUGUCUGCCCUGCAAAAUACCCAAUAAUCGAAAAGCACAGUAUGAUUUAUGGCAUUAGUAGUUCCUUAAAGCUGCUUAUGGAAGUGUCUUCAGUCCAUAAAGUUGGAGAAAAGAGAAUGAGAAACACAGGGCAUAAAUUGUAUCUUCAGAAUACUUCAUCAGCUGGCUAGUUAAGUAUAAUAGUCCAUUAGUAGCAAGAUAAGGCUCAGUUAAAACUGUAAAUUAAAAUUUAGAUGUCUCUUUCCCUCUGCCUGUAAAAAAGCAAUUUUGCUGCAACCUCAACACCAGGUGAACCACUAGACCACUUAAAUAACAGGUACUAAAUCAAAAUUUCACUCUGGAAAUUGGGAACUCAAAUCUAUUUUGCAUGCUUUGUAAAGUCACCCACCAUUCCAGGACAUCUUAAACAGGCAGUUAUUUUGUUACAGCCUUUUCCUGGUAGUGAGGAGAAAAGUUGGAUGGGAUGAGGCAGAGGUUGGAAAAGUUGUAAGUAGAGUAUUUUUAAUACCACAAUAUAAAUAAUGAAUUAGGUAGGGCAGUGAUUCCAUGGAUGCUAAAAAAUGUUCUUAUAUCCAACCCCUUUGUUUUGAGAGGAUUCAAUCCCAUUUUAAAUGGCAUUCUUUAGAUUUGCCAUUUAGUCAUGCUAAAACCAAAAAUGCUCAGAAAAUAAAAACCCAAAACACUGAGAGUUGAACACAUUGACACAUUUCCAAGGGUGUAAAAUGAAACAACUGCAUGGAGGCAAAAGUUUGCCUAGAUAAGAAUCAGUAUGAAACAACUUUGAGGGAGUAGAGAGAAUCGUCUGCCUAUGAUAUCAACCCUGGAAAUGAGCCUGUAACCAUCUCAUUAGUAAGCUUCGUGCCCCGGCUUCACACACACUGAGAUCCAACUCAGCAGCUACCAGAACUGACCCAGCUGCCCUACAGGAAAGUAUGCAACUUUCCGUUUCUAAGUAGGUCCACCAAGAGAGCAAGAAGGGUCUUUGACCGAAAGAACUGGGUCACAGGAUGGGAGCGGCACCAUUGCCUUUAACAUCAUAAACUCUUGAGUUUUAAGGAGACACGGUUCCCAUAGGCCUAAGAGAGUUUCUUAAAUGUGACCUACAUUCAAACAUAAUUAUCUUUCUUUCCCAAUUGGCAAACAUUUACUGUAUAAUCUUGUCGUAAAAUCCCACAAUUAAUAAUUUUUAAUGUAACAAGCCACAUUCUCUGACCUAAAAUGUAGUGCGAUACAUAACAGUAGAAAACAAUUAAAAUAGUCUGACUAUACCUUAGUCCUGCCCCUAAGAUUUUUGGAACUACAGCUUUUCCUUUAGAUGAAAUGACUUACUUAAUCAGUUGAAGUUACCUGUAGCCUUCUUUGGGAGGAGUAUUUAGAAAUGUUGUAUCCUUACUAAAUAUUCAGGACUAGUUUUAAAUAUUGUUUAAAAAGCACAAUGAAGACUUGAACUAAAGCAUUACACACGAAGCCCUUUGAAAGUAGGAAUUUAUUCUUUAGAAGAUUAUUUAUGCUGUUCAAUUCAUUUGAUUUUAGCAAAUAGUAUCUCAGAAAUGGUGUGGCAUAGGAUAAAAAGUACUAGGGCUGGGGAUUUAGCUCAGUGGUUCUGCCACCUGCCCCACAAGCUCAAGGACCGGAGUUCAAUCCUGGUACCAAAAAAAAAAAAAAAAAAAAAGAAUAGGAUAAAAAGUACUGAAAGGUUAGAUCUAACCAGGCCAACAAGCCAGCAAUAUGAUCGCAGGCUUCUCAGUCAUCUUGGAAUCUCUCUUUCAUCUGUAAAAUGAGAUCAUGGCAAUGCCCAUCUUGUAGUGUUGCUUUGAAGAAUAAAAAAUUAGAGUAACUGAAGUAACUGGUAACCUGAAAAUGAUUAAACAGAUGUUUAGAUUGUUGUGAGGCCUUCAAAUAUCAAGAAAAUUAUCAGAAAAAUGAAGCACGCCAAAAACAUCUUAAACAUGUCUACCUAAAAUACAUUUUGACAAAUAUAGAUGCCAAAUAUGCACACAGAAAUUUCAGAUCAAAUAAAUGUGCAUUUAAAGUCAGCAUGAACUUCCAGAUAAAGAUGGCAGAUUAUGCACAUGUAUUUAUAUUUUCUUCCAAGCAAAAGUCCAUACAAACGUUAUUAAAGGAAUACAAAUAGGUGCAAAACUACAAGGUAAAACAAGAAUAAGAAAUAGUUAUCAGUAGGUAGAAUAUUUCAACAAAUUUUUGGAGGAUGAAAAGUACAUGGAGGCAUUCAAAGGCAUUCACAGAAGUUCACUCAGAGUAGACGAAGGUUAAGGGAAUAGGAGGAUGAUGGUAGGGAUGUAGAUUAGCUGCCAAGAAAAACCUUUGAGAUGCUGAGAAUCCUGAAACUUCAGAUACUGUGGGGGUGGACAUGAAACAUAGGUUAAGAUAUAGAAGAAAUCAAUGAAAAGCCUGUCCAAGGAAAGCUGAUUUUAACACUAUGUAAAUGUCAACCACAAUCAUUGCAUUUGCCUUGCUCUAUGAUGUAAACGGAAAACCGAAGAUUCCUUUACAUUUGGGAAAAGUCUUAAUGUGAGAGACUCUGACCAAGAUAAACAAGGAGGAAAACCUGAUUCCAAAAUAAAAAUAACACAACAAAGAACACAAGUUUUUACAAAAAUUCUAACAUCCUUGAAAGAUUCAAGAAUUCUUUGUUUCUAUUAGACAAGAACAGGAUACUCUGAAAAAGAAUAAACUGAGUUUAAGAAGAAAGCUUGACAUCAUUUACAUAUGUAUGUAACACAAACAUAUGUAGAUACAGUUUUUCCAAAAAAUUCAGAAUGUAAAAUUUAUAAAAUCUCAUGGAAGGUAAAAUGAAAAUAGACAAAAAGAUCAAACCAGGAGGACUAACAGGAAAUCAAUUGGAAUUAAGUAAAAUGAGAUGCAAAAUGGAAAGAAGUAGGGAAAGGAUGGAAGGAUCAUUUUAAUGGUACAAGAGAAUUUUGUACCCGAAAGAAUUAAGAUUUCAGGUGGUAAGAACUCAUAAGUGGUUGUAAAAAGACUCUUACCUAAGAUCAUCUUUGAAAGAAAAAUGCAGGAAGAAAAAGCAAUGAAAAUCAAACUGGUAUUGUACUUCAUAUUAGCAAUAUUGGACCCUCAAGAAAAAGGAACAUGUUUUUUAAAUUCUGAGAAAAAGUUACUUUCUAACUAUAUUACCCAUGCCUAAUUAAGUUAUUAUGCAAAUGUGAGCAUAGGCCACACUUGCAGGUGCUGAUUUUCAUACAUUCAAAGAAUCAGAAAAGUUGUCUCACGUAUAAUUUCUUUAGAAUUGUGUUGAGUAUGUCCUGCAGCAAAAGAAGUCUGCAAAAAGGCAAAAGCUUGAUCCUACAAAUGAGGAACAAAGCAGACACAGAUGAUCAAUAAAGGAAAGACUUUCACUGGGUAGCAGGCAUAGUGUACAAGGAGACAAGAGUAGAGGACAAAGGAAUUUUUCUUGAAGUAGUUGAAGAAGAAGUAAGUUCCUGAAAAAGAAUUAACAAAACCUUUACCUGAAUGGACAGAAAGAGUACAUGAUAAAGAUAAACAGCAUUUUUAAAAAGGCGAUUACAAACUCUAGAAAAGUUAAAAGCUGUACAAGAGAGGAAGUAUAAUAAUAGCACGGUACUUGAAACUGUGAGAAACAAUCUUAAAUUCCAAAGUAAAUAGCAUUUACUGAUUUAUAAAAUUACAGGAAAAGAUGAUAGAAUUAUAAUUAGAGAGCAGAAAGCAAAUGUCAAUAAUCUUGACAACACAGAAGAAAAGAUUACAAAAAUUGAGAGACGGAAGUGAGAGAAAAGAACUGAAAAGACAGAGAUGCAGAAUAAAAUACUCUUAUUAAAGAAAUAAGUAUUUUACUGAAAGUUACAUAGGUAACCAAUAAAGGCAUAAAAUAAAAAUAAGAUGUAUAGAAAGUAUUAGGAGGCUUAAAUUACAGUCUAAUCUAUCAAUAACACAUAGCAAAACAAUAUAAUAUUGUAUUGGUCCAUUUUCCCUCCACUGUAACAAAAUACCUGCAGCUGGAUAAUGUAUAAAGAAAGGAGGUUUAUUUAGCCCACAAUUUUUGAGGCUGAGAGUCCAAGCUUGGGCAGCCCCAUGUGUUUGGCCUCUGGUGAGGACCCCCUUGUCUGUGUCACCUCCUGGAAGAUGACAUUGUGAUGGGAACCCGUGCAAAAAGGAGAAAGAGUACAGUGAGAUGGGAAGUCAGGGCAUGAGGAGAGGCCAGUUUUGCUAUUUUAUAACAACCCACUCUUGUGAGAAGCAUUUGGGUGGCCCAAAGCACCUACAUUAAUCCUUUCCAAGGGUAGAGUCCCCAGUGGCCUAAUUGCCUGGCACUAGGUCCCACCGGUUAAAGGAGCUGACAUAUCCCAAUCCCCUCACAAUGAGAACCAAGUUUCCAACACACAAGAACUUGGGGACACACACAAACCAUGUCCAAGCCAUGGCAGAUAUCUAAGCUUAACAACUCAAGAAAGCAAUACAAGCACAUUAGUUAGCGAUAGGAAGAUAACUAACAAAAACUGCUAUAAAAUUAAAAGUCACAUCUGAGCAGAGACACAGGACAUGAGGGUCAGGACUGAAAUUUAUUGCUUUUCUGCCUCGAUGCUUCUGUCCUUUGUUAUUAUCAUGUGGAGUUUUGGGGGGUUUCUUAGCUUUGAUAAAAAUUUUUAAAUGAUUGAUAAAAAACUCAAGGGCGUAAAUUUUACUGCAAAAUGUGCUAUCCAUUAUGAUACACUACCAAUCCAAUUUAUGUAAAAUUUGUGACAAAGCCUUCUGCUACAGUGUAUUUCAUACUGAAUGUGAUUUCAGAAUGGGAAGAUACUGACUCUAUUUUGAUAAACAGCCUGCUAACUAAUUCUCAAGUGCUCCAACACAGUGAGAUGUAAAGUGUCUUCCAGUAUCCCCAUGCAUCUGAAGACAUCGGUGCUGACUGAUCAACAAUGUGCAGGGAAUGCCUGAUUGUUUUAUUAUGUCAUUUUGCUACUGAAGAAAUUUAUUCAUGAUUGUUCACCAGCAAGAUGAGAUCAUGUGGGAUCAGUAUAUAUUUGGAACCUUAAACCUUACACAAUGCGAUUACUCGGGAUAUCUAGAUGCAAAUUUCACUCCAGCACCACCACCACCCCCUUCGUCUAUCCUCAAAACACAUACAUUUACCACCAGGCACUGGAGGGGCAUUUACAAGGAAUGUCUCUUGGAACUGCAAAGAACAAAGGAAAUUCUCUGCAAAAUGAUGCUGAAACAUGAUCACUGAUGCAUACUUUCUUGCCAGUAUCUUGCUUUUUGAAUAUCGUCCUUACCUAUUAUUAGGAUAUUGUUUUCUUUGGAUGGGAAAGACAAAGAUGAGAAGUCCACUUAAGUGCUCAAACAGUACCCUCUACUGGUGCAGUUUGAGCUUAAGGUUUUAUUUGUAGCAGGGCUUAGUUGUACUGACAACAGAUGGAAAAGAGAUAAGAAGAGAAAGCAAGGUGAAAAGUAUACAUCAUCAUGUAAAAAGAAAACAUGAAUUUAAAAAAACAACUAACUUUAGUCUGAUAUAACUAAACUGACAUUUGAGGCAUCCUAGCAUAUAUGUGAUACAAACGCACUUCAUUAAAUCCUCAUACAAUACUUUGUUCUUGGAAAAACAGUACACUAAUGGAUGAUUCUGCAUAUGACAUUCAGUAUCUUUGCUUUACGAAGUGAUUCACCACCAGUUCCCCCAGGGAGUUCCUCAAGUUCCUGGAACAUGUGACAUGAUUUAUACCCUGACUUUGGGAACAUAUUAAUUGUGAAAAAUAAACUGGUUCCUUAGGUCACAGUCCAGGGCUCUUACAUGAUACCAGAGAGGCCUGUGCUACUUGACAUGUUUGUAAAUGUUUAGGCAAAGUUCAAAAUUAAUUUUUGGUGUCUUGCUAAUAUAUAAGUAACAGUGGUUUGGAGAUGGCAAGAUUAAUUUAUCUGAUGAAGGAAGGAAUGAGCAACAUAUGCUUCCCAGAGCAGGGGAUCUGGAGAUCUAUUUUGUUUAAUAUAGUAUAAAUGCUUAAUAAAUUGAAUUGUGAUUAAAACCAGGUGCAGCCCUACAUUUAGAAGAAAACUCGGAUUUUUAAAAAUACCUCUGACUAAAAAUCAAUUGGAUACUCAGCUCUCUGGGCCCUCCAUGCUGGUGGCAUUGAAAACGUACAAAGCACACCCCAAUCUCACUGAGCAUUUGCAGUUGGAAAUUAAGUCAGCAUAUUUAGGCUGUCACACAACAGAAAGCCAACUGGUCUUUGUUCUGUUCCCUCCAAAGGAAAGUAAGGAUGGGGGGAUUUAAAUGUCCUCAGGCACAGAGGGAUGGGGCUUCUGUGUGUGAAUGACACACACUGAGAGUGAGAAAGACACAUGGUUCUCUUGGUCUAUCUUUAAUUUCUAGUGGAGACAGGAAUACAGAGAAGUAAUUCUUCACUGUAAGAAAAGCAACAGAGCAAACCUUAUGAUCAGUUCUGACUGAGGCCUCUGAUAUGACAAUAAAGAGCAGGUGGACUGAUGAAACGGACAGUCCACACCCCACUGAAACUGAUGAGGUAGCAGUUGUCCUUGUCACCAUGGAGCCCCGAGGGCCAAAGGGUGCCAGGUUUUAAGAUUUCUCCAGGGGAGCUUGAUGCCAGACUAUUUACAUAGUACUGACUUUUGUGGUCUCAAGUCUUUUUUUCCAAAAAAAAUCUGUGAGCCAAAACAAAUACUUACAAACUAAGUUUAUCCCAUGGAUCCGUAGUGAAUAACGAACACCAACUUGUGCUUUCAAGGCAGGCAGCGGCACCACUGAGCUAAAUCCCUGGCCCUUGCUUAUUUGCUUUUAUUUGAUUUUUUUCUCCUCCACCAUGAGGGUGGAGGCCAUGUCUCAUUUAUUCAGGAGGACAUUACCCACCCUAAAGUAGGUAUUUAUUAAUAAUCACUGGAUGAAUGGUAAAGCUUUUAAGUUGCUCCUCCUGGAAGUAACUGGAACCACUCAUCUGGGUUAAUAUCACACACACCCUUGAAUUUGGGCUGGGAGGAAGGAAGUUCUAGGUUUGAAUCUCAAAAAGGCUAUCUUCUGACUGAGAUAUUGAUCUUCUUAGAGUUUGUUUCCUUGCUUAAAAAAUAGGGACUCAAUAGAUUUGUGCAGAAGAUGGUUCUAAAUGCUUGCAUAGUAGUAGCACACAGUAGGUGCCCAAUAAAGGUUUAUUUUUAUCAUUACCUUUAUUACUAAGUAUUAGUCUACUCACACUGGACUGCCUAUGUCCCCUCUGUGCCUAACGAUGGGGUUUGGCAGAUCUGAUCUGUAGAGCCCUCUCUCAUAUUUUUUACCUCAGGAAAGGUUCUCCCAACUAAUCACAAAGCCUUCUCCUAAGAGCUAAGCUAAAUAGACACAGAAAGCUGCACUCUAAUCUGUAUGCUGAGAAAUCAGGUCUGCGAGGAGCCUUACAUCCAGUGUUUUAAUUACAGAAUUAAAACAAAAAAGAAAACGUAUUCACCUCUGAUACUUUUCCUAAUGAUCUAACUGAUAUUAAUCAACUCCUGAAGAAUGUCACAUACUUACCUUGGGCCUGUAACCUACCAGGACUGAGUUAUGACAUAAAGGGAGUGAUGCAAGGCCAUCCUUGCAGCAGAACAUGGGAUUCCUUGAGACAGGUAUCUUGAAGGAGACACAGCUGUGUCCGUGGGGCAAAGCAGGUGCAACUGAGGUCAAAGUCUUUGUCCUCACAGCUCUGUGGCUUUAGCCCAGUCCUGAGGCCUUGACUGAAAACUAAGCUCACCUUCCCUGUUUAGAGGGUGGUUUUGAAAGAUGCUGAAUGAAGGUUGUUUAUAGAACAAGAGGAAACUGGAACAUGGAACUCCUCCCUCCUGCUCUCCCCAAAUGAGGUUCUACUGAGUGUAUCCAAAACAGCACAAACCACAGUCCAUUGGAUGGUGUGCUGCAAAUCAUAGGAUUUCAAACCUCUAAUGGAAGAAAUCAGACAAUCUUUGAGCAGUUUAGGAUCAUGGAUUAACUGGGUCAGAAAUCCAGUCACCAAAUAUAGCUCUUUGUCCUCUAUUCCUACAGACAGGCAGGGAGUGAUCUGGCCCCACUGCCCGCUCCUCCCUGGCAGGCUGGCCUGGAAGCCCGCUCUCCGCAGUCCCCGCCCUACCAGGGAACCUGUCCCCAGCACCAGCACUGAAGGUCAAGUUGGCCCAGGUGCAUCCUGUGACUCAUUUCUCAUUUCUGGCCCAUGCUCUAACAAAAAAUCUGAGUCCCACCCUUCAUCGUCUUUAUUUGUUUUUAAUGUCUAUGUGAUCUCAUGUCUCAAGUCAGCCUCCCUGUGUUCUGAGAAAUAGCCUUGGCCCCCUGUAUUAAUUGAGCAGAGUGUAUAUUAUCAUUCAUCAUUCACAGUAUCCAUGCUCCUUGUUUAUUCCCCAUUGCUGCACUCCCCACCGCGGCCCAGUUCCUAGUCUAUCUUUCUGAAAUUGAGAAUAUGGGACUUUAGUCUGAUUUACCUAUUUGUCCAGCAAUUGGUACAUGGUAGGUGCUCAUGGCUGCUCACAAAAGGAACUUUCUGUGGCUUAAGCAAGAAAGGAAUCAGUUCAAAGGAUGUUGGGCAAUUCUCUGAAUGUCCGGGAAGCCUGGAGAUCCAGCCUAUAAAUUGGUGUGGUUGGAAACCAGGCCCCAAAUAGAACCCAGUGGGGUCCCUGCUACAGAGUAGAUGCUGACACUGUCAUUGUAGUUGUCUUGGUGCUCACCACACACCUGACAUUAUAGGGCUCCAUAUUUAACAAAAUAAACGGACAAUGAAUGAUGUACUCUUUUGCUCUGGGUUCUGGUGACAUCCACUUACAAUCCACCUUUUGUCCUAAAGUUUUACACAGGCCAGAUCCAAAAUCCCUGUCCCCCACAGAGUGGAUGCUAAGAACAGCAAGCCGUGUGGCUCCUGUUUCUUCAGCCCAGCUGGCACCAGCCCCAGAGCCGCCUGGCUUCCACUGCCUUUGGCUUUGUCUUCUCUUUUUCAUCACUCUUGCCCUUUGGACUUGCUGCCUGUCUUUGGCUCACUUACUUUUUGACCCUGGGCACUUUGUAGUGUUUCUCAGCAGGGGCACUAUUAGCAUUUGGUGCCAAACAAUUCUUUGUUGAGUGCAACCACUCCAUGUGUCCCAAGACUUUUUAACAUCCCUGACCAUGCUCAUUAAAUGUUAGAACAGUUCUAUAGUCAUCGUGAC
ensembl:lncRNA